rnacentral:rRNA from 1 species
CCUCAGCCGUAAGGGACAGGUGCGCAAAGCACAGGAAGGAUGGGUCAAGGACAGGUCAGUGAUGCCCUUAGAUGGUCCGGGCUGCACGCGCACUACAGUGGUCGCCGAAAUUAGCUGAUAAUUUUAAAGGCGAUCGAGAGGGAAUGAGCUUUGUAAGAGGCUCAGGAACGAGGAAUUGCUAGUAAUCGCGGACUCAUUAAGACGCGAUGAAUACGUCCCUGUUCUUUGUACACACCGCCCGUCGUUAUCGAAGAUGAAGACAGGCGCGAACGAUCUACCAGAAAGUGAGCGCAGGUCUUUAGAUCUGAUACAAGUCGUACCAAGGUAGCUGUAGGUGAACCUGUAGCUGG